UAGUCCAGUAUCCAGCUCUUAUAAUACAUCCAUGCUUCUGAAGAGCAGAGAGGACUCCCCACCACAGUCAAGGGGUUCUCGUCUUAUGCAGCAAACAGCACUAGCAGGGACACUGUAGCUUGUUUGUUUUGUCGUUGAUUCCACCCCCUUAGUGCCCCCUUAAUUGGGCCCCUGCCACUCUAUUUAGCUACCGGGAGUUUUAAACGCUAGCAAACUGCCCUGAGUGCGGCAUAUUGUCGCACACUGUGACGUCACUGUCAAGGUGAUGCGUUUUUUUUUAUUUUUCACUGUAGCUAGGGGGUAAAAUGGAGAGAAAGUACAAAUUGAGUGCAGUGAAACGCAAGGAGCCAGAGAGUAAGAACAGCGCAUAAUCAAGCUAACGUCAUUGCUAGCACUACUAGCCUGACAGUGGCUAACGGCCAGACUAUCCAACCUCACUUUUUCUGUGUGUUGAGCGGGACAUAAACAUUGACAAAAUGCCAUCAUGAAGGAGAGGAGGAUGAAGUCUUAAAAAGGGACCGUGAUAUGUACACAAUUCGUUAACCUGUUCAGGUUAUUUUGUUCUAUGGAGGAUGGUGGAAUACACAAAUGGACUACACUAAACUACAGCAGGCUGAGCAGGGACAACAAUUGGGUUGCGGUGACAGCAGACUGAGCAAGGAAACCCUACCGAUGUCCUACCAGCUGGACGUUCCCAGACACCCUGGAGAUUUGUAUCCGCAAUCUCAUUCGUUCAGUCAUCACUCAAAGCUUGGGGCCAAAGUGACAGGAUAGAUGGGAGAUAAAGAGAAGGAACAACACAGCCUACUGCCAAGAAUGAAAAGGAAGCAGAUUAAAUGUAAAACUAAAGACUGCAAUCAACCCAAAGAGCAUCCAUCAAUUAACGAGUGAAUACAGAUAGAGGCGUCUGUCGUCUGUGCCAAAGUGCCAGAGAAUGGUCAGAGCCCUCAGCUACAUGAAGAGAAUGAUGCGCCAGCCUUAAAGGUGGUAAUGCCAUGCAGUGUAAUGUAAGAGGUGAUGACGGUAGGUAUUUGAGAGAUUACUUAGACGAGUCAGUAGACAAAACUCAACAAUCAUUCUCAUUUACCAGUACUUUACCGUGUCAUUUUUGUUUAUUCACAUUACGCUUUUUCUCUGCCGUCGUUGUUGCUACUGACUUUCUCCGGUGGCAUAGGAAGGGUGUAGACGGUCAUUUUUCACAUGCUCAAGUACCAGGAAUGAAACCCUGAAACCCAUAAUGACUCCAUAUUCACAGUGUAUGACACACUCCUUGAACCAUAACAAUCAUCAGACAGCUAAUAAAUGAACACUUGAUAGCUAAUUAGCACUAGCUGAGACUAGCAGUAGCUGACAAAGGGAAAGGCAAUGGGACAUGUGGACAUCACUCAUUAGGCAUCACUCAAUAGGCUGAAUUUCAUCCAAAUUGAACUGGCAAACGUGUUCUGCACAAAAAGGCUUGAAAAGCUUUUGAAUCAGAUCCGUUCAUGUGCACAUGAGUCAGUUAUUCCGCCAAAAUAGCACAGAAUGUAUGAUACCUGUGCUUUGGACAGGGUUUUCAAGAGCAAGCAUACAUCUUGGUAAUGAUGGCAGAAUUGGACACAUCUCUGAUGCCUCUGCCACUGUAGGCCUUUACAUAUCAGCACAGAGACAUCCAAUAGGACAGUAUGCAUUCAUUUGCCUUAAUACAACUGUAUCUAUGAGGAUUAAGUGUGGAAGUACUAAAAACCGACAUUUCCCACAAUAUUUUCACAAGUUGUGCAGCUUCGGUUCACCAUAAAAUAUGGUGUGGUGUCGAACUGGCACUACCACAUCAUGCUGAGUACAACUUAGUCUCACUUCGCCAACUCAAAGCCCCACCAUCUGCCACGUUCUGUCACAUUAAUAUUAGAGCCCAUUAACUUUUGUUUGUUCAGUUCUGUUCUAUUUAUAUGUGUGAACGAGUACAUGUUUUUUUGUUUUUUCUUCAAGGAAACAUCCACCAUAAGGCUUUGGCUCAUAUAUGUUUCAGACCAGCUAUUCAUCUUGUCAUUCUAGAUCCGGCGUGAUCUCAAAGCUCGUUUUGUUGACCAAUGCAGCACCAGGAAAAAGCCUGCAGGCUGUGUAUACCAAGCAGGUGUAUACCAAGUUAAAAAAAAGGAAACCUUUCUAUUUGAUGCAAGAUCAAGCACAAACCAGUCAGACAGUUAGCCUGCCAGGGAGCCAGACAGGCAGGCACGGGGGUGUCAAUGGACGAAAAACAAAGAGAAAAGGAGCUGCUGUUGCAGCUUUUCCCUAAAAGCUCGUUAAUCCCAAUUUAGCUGUCACAGGGAUGAGGUAGGUGGGAGUUUGUGUGGUUGUGUGUGUUAGACCUGUGUGUGUUAGAGACACAGAAUGUGAAGCAGAGAAUAAAGUCUUUGCAGCCUCACACCCUUGCUUUGUGAGCUGUCACAUCAACCAGCUAAUUAGCCUGAUGGCCAAUGAAAAGUUAAUUUCCUCGGUCUACCAGCAAUGCUGUCUGUGUUUGCAAGGGUUGGGGUGAAUAAGGGUUUAAGGCAUUCUUCUAAAAGACUUCAUUUUAAUUGUACAGAACUGAGGUUAGAGGUGUUAAAUCCUAGAGAGCAUGACUGUUUCAAGUCAAGUCUUCCAUCUGUUUAAAAAUCAUUCAAUAAAAUUAAUAGUUAAUUAGUUGGAAUAUAUUUUUUUUUUUUUACUUUUGACAGCUUGGCUAGUGUUUUCUACUAAACAUGGCCGCAUUAACAUAAAGGCAUGAAAUGGAUAUCAAUCUUCUUAUCCCACUCUCAGAGAGAAGGCAAAUAAGCGCACAGUAUUUCCCAAAAUUUUGAGCUCCUUUUUUAUAAUAAAAAGUUUAACCAUGACAACACAUGUAAACCUGAGCAGUCACAGUAAUCUAAUGUGGUGAAAUAUUCACAUUAAGAAUGUCGUUAAAUAACAGGAAUUUGGAAAAAAAAAAAAAGUGAUGUGUUUACUAUGUGAAAGACCCAGUCAAGAGACAGUUGUGCUCUCUGCAGAGAGGGUGACUGUUGUUCACCCAGUGCACAGGCAAGAAUAUCUAUCAAGAUGCAAUGUCUUGCCUAGACCAAUUAUCCACCAUUCGUCAUGCAGUCUGUGAGAGUGCAUACAUACAGCAUGUGAGUCUGUGUGUGUGUGUGUGUGUGUGUGUGUGAGAGAGAGAGAGAAAGGGUGUGAGAGAAAGUCGUCUGAAUCAGCUUUCCUCUCUGAGCUCUUAAUUAGUGUUGAAUGUACAGAGAAUCUGACAAUGGGAAGUGUGCACAUCUGCAUAUACCUGCAAAGGUUUAAUCCAUCAGAUCUACCUGGAAGGCCGCCAGGAGCAGGAAAAACAACACCUUUUACUCCUAUCACCUGUGUCAGACACACACACACACACACACACACACAUACACACAAACCCCCCUUCUGUCCAGACCUUCUCCAGUAUUCCAAGACCAAUCCUAUUGUUUAAUUUUUCAAAAGAUAAUGUGCUUAUUUUAAAGGCUUUUUCCUCACUCUCCCAGAAUCACUUAGAGGUAAAUGGGACAAAAGUUCAACAGAUUGAAGAGUUUAGUUGAGAAAUUGAACUGUGCUGACGCAGUACAGAUAAGGAUUACAGUAUGUGAGGUGCAGGAGAGGACAGUCUGCAUGGUGAGUCAAAGAAUAUAAAACAAGAAGCCACACAUUUAGUCAUAAUAAGUUUUUGAAGAAAGUACACUUGAGUCAUCUUCUUACACUUCUCACAGUCAGAGGUUCACAUCCGCUCGAGCCACUGUCAGCUAUCUUUGUUCAACCCUGUCUGCUACGAAUUACUUUCAUAUGCAACUAUUCUGCAUUAAUGAUUUACAUUCAGCUGCAGUGCUCAGUGCCAGCACAGGAAGUACUGUGAUGUUCACGGGUAAGGUAAGGGAAGUGUAAGCAUUUCACUGACAUUUUAUUAUUUAAUCAUUAUGACAAUGUUUCUCUGCUCCCUAGUCAUGCCUUAAUCAUCCCUAAUGGUUUUUAGACAUGGAUGUCGGACUAAGUAUUUCAUGUUUGUAGUAAAAGCUGUGGAGAUAGACUAUAAUAUUAAAAUAAUAAUCAUCAUCAUAAAAGUGUCCUUGGUGGCAUAAGAUUUCCAUCUAAGUAUAUUUUGCUAAUGGAAAAUAGUAGCACAGUUGCCCUGAUAAUACUGUCAGGGACAGAACGAACUCAUUCUGUCAAGCUAAUGCAAAUCAGUGGAACAUUGUUGUCUCGCACCGUUGUUUUCGCAUCUUCAGAAUCAGAAACCGCCAACCUCAGCUGGUUAUCCAUAACUUUCCACAGAUAAUAGGAUAAUUGAAACAGAGAAGGUGGCAGAAAUGUUGGUUAGGGCCAUGCUGUUAUUUGUAUGAGCUAUGCAAAACUUGAAACACACACAAGUACAGUAUGGUAGUUGUUGAUAUUUAUGUACAUCCAGUGUAUUAGCUCCUUGUUUGGAUGGAUUUUAUUGGCAUAUUCACCCUGGACAGAUGUGACCCAAGAGGCUUCUGAAUAUUUCUCAGUAGCAGAGUAUUGAGUGUCCAGCCACUCAAUACUGUAUUUAUAUUUUACAAUAGUCCACCACAUAAACAGAUUUUGUUUUUCUUUAUAAUUUAUCAUUUUAUUAAAUAUUACCAAUUCCAGCUCUCAAGGCAGACACACACCAGCCUGUACUGAGGAACAUAUAAAAGCCUACAUAGUUAGCCUUUAACACAAUUCCUAGAUUAAUUCAAUCUAUGUUGGUUUCUUCAAACAGCCGAUGUGUCUGAGCUCAAUUUAUUUAUAGCGACUGCAGCAUAAACUUUGAGUAACUUUGUACUUUCUUCACUGUAUAAAACCUAAACCUAUUUUUUCUAUUCAAUACUUGUAAGUAGACAGUGAACAGGCCUUCUAAAUAAAGCAACAUCUGAGUGAACAUGUUCUUGAUUCAGAAUUGGUUGGCGAUGUGCAUUUAAAUGAUCCUCCCUCUAAUCCCUCACCUUCCCAACAACAAUGACAUAAACACUGAAGUAAAGACUGUAAAGGCUGAUUAAAUGUGACAAUGUCAGAUUUGUAUGAAAAUACUCACAAACCAGUUUUGGACCACCGCAGAGAAAAAACAAAAUUGUGUCUUUUGAGAUUUAAAAAAAAGAAAAAAAAAACAGCAAAAGUCAAUACAAAAAACAGUAGGAAACUGACUUAUACUCUCAACCAAAUGUUUUUUAUUUUUAACAUUAUCAGCAUGUAAAAUGUACUUCACAAUGGGGAUUCUUCAGUCCCAGAUGUCUCUGCUGGAUGCCAUCAUUUUAUUUUGUCUAUUUAUUUUUGGCUCUGUUUUUUUACGCAUCUCUCUUGUGCAGCUUUAUACCUUUCUUCAAGCUCUUUGUAUUUAUUGGCAUUUUUUUAAAUCCCCUCUCUGCUUUUCAAAUUCAAUUGACUUUUUCCUUUUUUUUUUUUUUUUUUUUUCCUUUCCACUUACCCUCUCUCAAUUCAGCCUUUCAUUACAUAUGCCUACUGAAAUACAGUCUCCAUUUGGAAUCAAUCAGGUCCCAAAAACUAAAUGCUUAAUUCCAUCUGUCAUUAAAUAUUAACAGAAUGAAACUGUGUCCUGAGUUGUAAAAAAGUGAUAAAGGAGUGGAGUAGAGGGGCUCGUGGGGUGUCUAAUGAAAAUUUAAUACUUCUAUAAUAGUGUUUUGAGUGAUAUUUUCAUUAUUCCAUAAUGACACUGGAAAGUCUCAGCGGUUGAUAAUUAGCCCCCCACCCAUGUAAUAAUUCUAUCUCUCCUUUUUUUUCUGUUUCUCCAUCUUUUUUCCUCCAUCAGAUGUCAUAAUUCAGCACAUCAUUCUUACUUUGGGAAAUUAAAACCCCUUUAAGCAAUUCUUUUUUCUCUGCUCUGCCGCAGCAUCUGUGGUUUUUGGCAACGCUAUCACUGUGUGCGUUCACGAGCAGCCAGCUGCCAGUGUUCCUUGAUCUGACUACCUGGAUAUAAAGAGUCCCUGAAACAGACCGUACACAUUCAACGAGCAGGCGCUGCCAGGGGUUCACUGUUCAUUGAGUCGUCAAGGUUUCUAAACUAAAGAAAUGUCAACCCUCAGUCCAAAUUGUGCUCAUAAUAUCAACAAGGCAACAAUGUGAAAUCAUCAUGUCCUUCCAGACAGUAUAUCCAUAUUAACACCCCCAAAGUCAACAACUUGAUGUUGGUGAAGAACGAAGCAGUGCAGGUGAGAACGCUGAUGUUUGACGAUUCCGCAGAACCCCAGAUCAUGUUCAACCCGUCAACCUCAACCCCAUUUUUAAGCCCAAUGAGAGUGUUUUUUUUAUAAUACUAUUCUUUCUACAAUAUCUGUUCAUCAAACUAGAGCUUUGUUAAAGUUAGGGAAAGAUUGUGGUUACAGUUAAUAAAAACUUCAGGCCUGUGACAGGAUGUGUAUACUAGGAUAGGAUGUCUCCUGCAUGACAGUCAGAUAUGCUGUACAUCUAUCCAACACCCCAACAUUGAUUUCCACCUAACUACACAUACCUUAGGGCACACUACUUCCUGCAUUGGCACUGACCUUUGGCGUAAAGCCUGAGGUAUAUGGACAUAAUUCCUAGGAUACUUAGCUGAAAUAUCCAGUUCAGAUAGAAGUGUCAUGGCCCUUUCACACCACUGGAACUUAUCUUGUAACCCAGGAAUCCUUUUAGGAGCUUUACCUGAGUUUUACCGCAGUAACCUGGUUUCAGUUUUGCUCCCAAGAUAAUAUUUCCAGGUUGUCCAGCAACUAUAAGGAUGGAGUCUGGAGAGCUGAAUUACCGACUGCUCAAACAUAAGUCUCUGGAUUGUAUACUAAAUGUCUAUAUGUGGUAUAUACUAGCAUUCACUUCAUUUGACUGUCAACUAGCAGUGGUUAUCGCUACAGCACCAAUAUUAUGAGUUGGGAUACAGAUUUCUUUUGCAUGGGCAACUCUGUAAAAAAGAUCAAGAGAUAGGGAGCAAAUUUAAUGCAAUUUACUAAUAUUUAAAUACAGUUAAUUUACUAAAGCAAAAAAUAACAGAUCACUUCUUUCAGACAGGCAUCUAGUCUUUCUGGUGAUUAAAGUCUCCCUCUCAUCUUUUUUCCAACAUCCAUUCAAACAUUAAAAUCAACAACAUCAUGACCCUGUGUUUGUGUCUUAUUGUGUGCACCUGAAAAGAGGCUGCUGGGUUUAGUUCAUGGGACUAUUUUCUCAAAAUCACCAUCAUUGAUUGCUGUGUUGAACUGGAGAACCGAUACUUCCUAUUUACAUCCCUCUC